GACGAACGCUGGCGGCGUGCUUAACACAUGCAAGUCGAACGGAAAGGCCCUGCUUUUGUGGGGUGCUCGAGUGGCGAACGGGUGAGUAACACGUGAGUAACCUGCCCUUGACUUUGGGAUAACUUCAGGAAACUGGGGCUAAUACCGGGUAGGAGCUCCUGCUGCAUGUUGGGGGUUGGAAAGUUUCGGCGGUUGGGGAUGGACUCGCGGCUUAUCAGCUUGUUGGUGGGGUAGUGGCUUACCAAGGCUUUGACGGGUAGCCGGCCUGAGCGGGUGACCGGCCACAUUGGGACUGAGAUACGGACCAGACUCCUACGGGAGGCAGCAGUGGGGAAUAUUGCACAAUGGGCCGAAGCCUGAUGCAGCAACGCCGCGUGCGGGAUAACGGCCUUCGGGUUGUAAACCGCUUUCGCCUGUGACGAAGCGUGAGUGACGGUAAUGGGUAAAGAAGCACCGGCUAACUACGUG
rnacentral:rRNA from 1 species